UGGGGAAUAUUGCACAAUGGGCGCAAGCCUGAUGCAGCGACGCCGCGUGAGGGAUGACGGCCUUCGGGUUGUAAACCUCUGUUAGCAUCGAAGAAGCGAAAGUGACGGUAGGUGCAGAGAAAGCGCCGGCUAACUACGUGCCAGCAGCCGCGGUAAUACGUAGGGCGCGAGCGUUGUCCGGAAUUAUUGGGCGUAAAGAGCUUGUAGGCGGUUGGUCGCGUCUGCUGUGAAAGGCCGGGGCUUAACUCCGGUUUUGCAGUGGGUACGGGCUAACUAGAGUGCAGUAGGGGAGACUGGAAUUCCUGGUGUAGCGGUGGAAUGCACAGAUAUCAGGAGGAACACCGAUGGCGAAGGCAGGUCUCUGGGCUGUAACUGACGCUGAGAAGCGAAAGCAUGGGGAGCGAACAGGAUUAGAUACCCUGGUAGUCCAUGCCGUAAACGUUGGGCACUAGGUGUGGGGGACAUUCCACGUUUUCCGCGCCGUAGCUAACGCAUUAAGUGCCCCGCCUGGGGAGUACGGCCGCAAGGUUA
rnacentral:rRNA from 1 species